rnacentral:lncRNA from 1 species
GUCCCCGGCGUCCGGGCGCCCUGCAUGGAUCCCCCACCCCAGCUCCUGCUCCCCGGCGGCGGCCGGUGGGCAGAAAGACCGAAACCCACUCACGGCCGCCUGCCGAAUCGCGGCUCUGCUGUUUGUGGGGCGUGCUAGAAACGUGGUCCUAAAAAGAAUGGCGUCCAUUUACAUAAUGCUUUGUUUGCGUUUCGCAAGUUUCUUUCGGUUAAAGCCACAGAAACCCCACCUCCUGCCCUUGUGUCGUUUCCACCGCGGCACCCUUUUCCGACAUUAGAAACAAUAGUGUACGCCUGUGGAGGCCUCGUUUGUUCAGGGGCUGCCGGCCAGGGCUUCAGGACGUUUCUGCGGCUUUCCCCGCGCGGCCUGGGCUCCCGCGGCUGCUUUUCGGGCCCAUGGGCGCAGCCACUGCGCCAGGCUCAAGGGGGGCGGCCCCGUCAGGGCCCGCCAUCUUGGAAGGCCUUUUUUGCCGGUUCUUCCCGCUGAGGAAGUGUCGCUCAAGACGCUGGCCUAUGAGUUGUGAUUUCUGCCUUUUCCCCUUCCUCCUUGGGCUAAGCCAGACCAGAAAGGGCCCCGUGCGCAACGUGCUUCACAAUCUCUCAGGGAAAGCGGCUAACGUGGCGCUACUCCGCCUCCCCUGUUCCUUACCCUUGGGGCGGCCGCCAUGUUUCCUGAACACAAAAUGGCGACACGUGGUUAGCAUUCGUCGCCAACGAGAAAUUGGGGUCGGCCCGAAAGCUCUAGAAUGCACCCCUCUUCCUCCCCGGGGCCUUCCACCUCCGCGAGUUUUAUGACUUAAAAAAGCCCACAGGCUGGUCUGAAGGUCGGAGGCCUAAUUUUAACGCGUUUUCCUCCCUUUAAUUUGAAACGGGAACGCGAAUGACUGUAAAAUGUGGGCACAAUAUUUAAUCUCUCGCCUUUUUAAAGCUUAAUAGUGGAUAAUAGGGGGGCAGUAUCAAGGGAUAAUUUGGGUCCCCACAGUACCAAAGCAUUUAGAAACCUCUGUUUAAUUUAAGGAAUGAGAUAAGUUACUGCUUUUCUAGACUUCCUAGCAUGGGCUGUUGUGCUGGAGAGAACGAGAGCUACGAAGAGACUACAGUGCCUCUGACUUUUUCAUAGGACAGUUGGCCGGUGAAUCUUAUUAAUAGUUUACCACAAUUAAGUGUUCAUUUUUAGUCUAGAAGGGACAGGCGUUUAUUGUGCAUUGGCCAGUGCCAGCACAUCCGAUGCAAGGCAGUUCACCGUAUUCUAUCUUUAAUUUUUACCAUGGUCCUCUGAGGUAGGUGUUCUUAUCUCUCUCUCUCUCUCUCUCUUUUAAACAGAGGAAGACAAACAUAAAGAUGAAGUGCUUAAUUCAAGGUCACACAAUGUCGGGGAUGGACCUCCAGAUUUCCUUACUGACCUGCAUUAUCUUGUGGAUACCUGAGUGAAUUCCACACCACCCAUUUUAUAGAUGAAACCACUGAGACAUGGAGCAAUUGACUGAGUAGUCACUGCCCCACCCCUGCCUGGAGCCUCACACAUGACUCGCCUCCUCUCAGUGACCACAGGAAAACAAGCUCAGGGCUCCCACUGAUUGUACAUUAUGAGACGGAGUCUUGCUAUGUUGCCCAGGCUGGUCUUGAACUCCUCACCUCAAGCGAUCCUCCCGUCUUGGCCUCCCAAGUGUCAGGAUUACGGGCAUGUGCUAUCACACCCAACCUGAUACAUUGCCUUUAUAAAUUUUUUUUUCUUUAUUCUAAAAACCAGAAAAAACAAAACUGGAUACAUGUGCAGAACAUGCAGGUGAGACGUGGUCUUGUAACACAGUGGUUAAGAAUGUGACUUUGGAGCCAGCCUGCUAGGGGCUGAAUUCUGACUCAGCCAUUUACUAACUGUGUGACCUUAGGCUGGAGUGCAAUGGCAUGAUCUCGGCUCAUCACAACCUCUGCUUCCUGGGUUCAAGCGAUUCUCCUGCCUCAGCCUCCCGAGUACCUGGGACUACAGGCACUCGCCACCAUGCCCGGCUGAUUUUUGUAUUUUUAAUAGAGAUGGUUUCACUAUGUUGGCCAGGCUGGUCUCGAACUCCUGACCUUGUGAUCUGCCCACCUCAGCCUCGAAAAGUGCUGGGAUUACAGGCGUGAGCCACUGCGCCCAGCCUUGUAUUUUUUUUCAGUUUGGGUAGCUGUCCCUAAUUCAUUUGUUAAAGGAGAAGCAAGAGCAAGAACCUUUAAUCUGUUCUCCUCUUCCCUAAUUUGAAAGUAGCUUGUUAUUUUGAAUAUCACUUUCUCUGAAAUAGCACAUCUCCAUCUCAGAGAAUGGAUUUAAUGUUUGGAUACAGCCAAAAGUCAUUUCAUUACCAAACCAUGGGGUGAAUAUACCAUGUAAAGCAGUUUGGGAUCAGAACUCACAGUCUGAAUUGUAAGUGAUGAGACUGCUGUCUCUCUGCUACAGCUUCUUGGCUGGCUCUGAAGGCUCUUUGAAGGCAGAUCCUAACAAGGGGACUGCUUUGAAGGGCCAUUGUUCAUUUGGAAUGAUAAAGUCUAUGUUGUUCAAAAAACAAAUGCUUGUAGCAGGUAUUUUUUCACUCCAGACUGAGAAUAUUGGUGGGAUAUUGAUAAGGGGUACUGAAUGGUAAUAAACAUGUGCUCUAGCUCUGUGCUAGUCAGCUUAUUUCAGAACUCUAGUUUGAUUCAGUUUCUUGCCUCUGACUCAAAAUGGAGGGAGAGUGAUUUUUACAUAAGAGAACACACCCACAUAUCCUUUUGGCAGCAGCUACCUGCCAGAGAUGUUGAAGAAGAGUAGCCAACCUUUACACAGCAGAUAUUGUGUGCCAGUCAUAGUCCUAAGUAUAAUACCUUACAUGUAUAAACUUCUUAUAAGGUUGGUGCUCUGUACCGAAUUGAAUAGUAUCCCCCAAAAUUCAUGUUGUCCCAGAACCUAUGAAAGUGAUCUUACUUGAGGGAGGGGGGAGGGGGGAGGGAUAGCAUUAGGAGAUAUACCUAAUGCUAAAUGACGAGUUAAUGGGUGUAGCACACCAGCAUGGCACAUGUAUACAUAUGUAACUAACCUGCACAUUGUGCACAUGUACCCUAAAACUUAAAGUAUAAUAAUAAUAAAAUAAAAAAAAAAAAGAAAGUGAUCUUACUUGGAAAUAAGGUCUUUGCACAUAUGAUCAAGUUGAGAUGAAGUUGUACUGGAAAGUCUGUCUAGUGACUGGUGUUGUCAUAAGAAGAGAGGGACACAGAGGGAAGAUGGCCACAUGAAGAUGGAGGCAGAGAUUGCAGUUAUGCUGCUGCAAACUAAGGAAUGGCUCUGGCCCUCCAAGGAUUGCUGAUAACCACCAGAAACUAGAAGAGACAAGGAAGGAUUCUUCCCUAGAGCCUUCAGAGGGAGCAUGGCCCUACUGACACCUGGAUUUCAAACUUGUAGCUUCCUAAACUGCAAGAGAAUAAAUUUCUGUUGUUUUAAGCCA